rnacentral:rRNA from 1 species
AUGGCUCAGGACGAACGCUGGCGGCGUGCUUCAUACAUGCAAGUCGAACGAGAAGUUACCUUCGGGUAAUGGAAAGUGGCGGACGGGUGAGUAAUGUGUAGAGAAUCUGCCCUAGAGUGGGGGACAACAGUUGGAAACGACUGCUAAUACCGCAUAUGAGCGUACCUGAAAUGGUAUUCUUGAAAACUCCGGUGCUCUGGGAUGAGUCUGCAUCUGAUUAGCUAGUUGGGGGUGUAAUGGACCACCAAGGCGACGAUCAGUAGCUGGUUUGAGAGGAUGAUCAGCCACAAUGGGACUGAGACACGGCCCAUACUCCUACGGGAGGCAGCAGUAGGGAAUUUUGCGCAAUGGGGGAAACCCUGACGCCAGCAACGCCGCGUGAUUGAAUAAGCCCUUCGGGGUGUAAAGAUCUGUCAGUGGGGACGAAACUUGACGGUACCCACAGAGGAAGCAUCGGCUAACUCCGUGCCAGCCGCCGC